UCAAUGCGUUGCCUGAGCGCAAGUCGACAAAAAGGAUGAACGAAGGCGGUCCACCAAAUUGGAGCAAGUGCAAGCGGGGGGAAGGGAUGAGGCAGAUGUGGGAAACGAGAUAGGAAGAUGAUGAUUUGAUCCUCUUCCUCUUCGAUCCCAUCUUUUCCAUGCUUGUUCUCGCCCGCACGACCACCGUCACGCCCAGUCACAUCUAAGUGUAUGUCUGAAGGUUAUGGAAAGUUUGAUGCAAAAGGGCAUUUUUCUUCUCCUUUGAGAUGAUUUGUGCGCGCAGAGUUGGUACUGUUUCUCUAAAUUUUACUCUCUCUCUUUUUUUUUUGUGUACUUUCAUAUUAUUAGAUCCAACGAAUAAAAUUUAAUCAAUUUGUUAAAUUAUGUAAUAUCAUUCCGACCAAUUCAUUGCUCCCGAGUACCAUUCCAGCAGCGAGCAGGUGAAGAAGAGGGCUCGGAUCUCGUGUCUCUAUUGUAGUAGCUGCUGGUGGUUGAUUCAUGAUCGCUUCACUCCUAUCUCCCAAUUUAUCAGGGUUGGUGAUCGUUCGGAUCUAGAGAAAGAGAGGAAGAGGAAGAAGAAAGAUUCCAAGGGGGAGAGGAAGGAAAGGUUGACAGGAGAGAGUGAGCACAGAGAGGGAACAAAUUAAACAAGAAAUGAUGGAGCUAUUGUUUUCGCUGCGUGCUUACUUCUCUUCCUGUCAGCCUUUUCGACUCCUUCCUUGUCUUCUUCUUGAUCCUUAUCUUCAACCUCGGUAGUAGCGGAGACUCUACUCCUCUCCCGAUUUUCAAAAGGAGUUUUUUUUUUCACUGAGAUAUCCUUGUUUACCGAUUGUCUUUCUCGAUUACUAGUUUCUUGCUUCCUUUUAUUGAAUUUGUAUCAGCCGUGGCGAGUUAAGUUUGGGAAUGGAAGCGGGACUUUUGAGAAGGAGAGUACCAAUCCGGAUAGGCAGAUAUGCACACCGUCCACUCGCCAGGUGAGCUAGUGGAGGUGAUCUUGGAAAACUAGCGUGGAGGAAGAUUUAAUAUAGAACUUCAAUGAGUUUGAACUGCAGCGACAGGAUUUCCAAAUCGCAAGUAUUUCAUACUGUUCUUGCAAUAGAAGAUUAAAGCUAUGCCACUGAGAAACACUACAAGAGGAAUACAAAAAAUUGAGUGUAUGGUUGUGAAUCCGAAUAGGGUCUGCAGAUUGGACUUAUAAUGCCAUGACAUGUUUCAUAUUCACGUCUCCAAACUUGCAUGUUCUUGAACACUUUUUUAACCUUGUCUAGGCAAAUUAUUAGGAGUUGAAUAUAUGAAUUUUAUCCAUCUGUAUUCAAUGAUAAAUCUUAAAUGAUUCAGAUAGUUGAUGAUAUUGUUUUAA